AUGCUGCAUGGAAGCUGAAGCUGCACUUCCAGGGUGACUCCUCGGGGCCCCUCAGAUGAGGGCUGCUCCCAGAAGAGCACCUGUAGCUCAGCCUCCAGCAGCAGCUGCACCAUCUGCAGCCUUGCAUCUGGGCAAACUAGCUUGAUGGCCCAAAUGGCUUCCACUGUAGCCAGUGUGGCUGUGGGCUCUGCAGUGGGGCACGCCCUGGGUCACACCAACACUAGGGGCUUCAGGGGAGGUGGUAAUGCUGAGCCUGCAAAACCUGACAUCACUUACCAAGAGCCUCAGGGAGCCCAGAUGCAGAAC
rnacentral:lncRNA from 1 species